rnacentral:rRNA from 1 species
CACGUAGGGGGGCGAGCGUUGUCCGGAUUUAUUGGGCGUAAAGAGCUCGUAGGCGGCUCGGUAAGUCAGGUGUGAAACCUCCAGGCUCAACCUGGAGACGCCACCUGAUACUGCCGUGGCUAGAGUCCGGUAGAGGAGCGUAGAAUUCCUGGUGUAGCGGUGAAAUGCGCAGAUAUCAGGAGGAAUACCAGCGGCGAAGGCGGCGCUCUGGGCCGGUACUGACGCUGAGGAGCGAAAGCGUGGGGAGCAAACAGG